UACAGAGGGUGCGAGCGUUAAUCGGAAUUACUGGGCGUAAAGCGCGCGUAGGCGGCUUUGCAAGUCGGGUGUGAAAUCCCCAGGCUUAACCUGGGAACUGCAUUCGAGACUGCAUUGCUAGAGUAUCGGAGAGGGAAGUGGAAUUUCAGGUGUAGCGGUGAAAUGCGUAGAUAUCUGAAGGAACAUCAGUGGCGAAAGCGACUUCCUGGACGAAUACUGACGCUCAUGUGCGAAAGCGUGGGGAGCAAACAGG
rnacentral:rRNA from 1 species